rnacentral:rRNA from 1 species
CCUACGGGAGGCAGCAGUGGGGAAUAUUGCACAAUGGGGGAAACCCUGAUGCAGCGACGCCGCGUGAGUGAAGAAGUAUUUCGGUAUGUAAAGCUCUAUCAGCAGGGAAGAAAAUGACGGGACCUGAUUAAGAAGCCCCGGCUAACUACGUGCCAGCAGCCGCGGUAAUACGUAGGGGGCAAGCGUUAUCCGGAUUUACUGGGUGUAGAGGGAGCGUAGACGGCAGCACAAGUCUGGCGUGAAAUGCCGGGGCUUAACCCGGGAACUGCUUUGGAAACUGGGCAGCUAGAGUGUAGGAGAGGUAAGUGGAAUUCCUGGUGUAGCGGUGAAAUGCGUAGAUAUUAGGAGGAACACCAGUGGCGAAGGCGGCUUCCUGGACUGUAACUGACGUUGAGGCUCGAAAGCGUGGGGAGCAAACAGGAUUAGAUACCCGGGUAGUC